UUCUUACUAACAUUUUUGUAAGUACCGCCUGCUCCAUGAAAUUUAAAUAGCCGCGGAAAUUUAACCGUGCUAAGGUAGCAUAAUCAUUAGCCCCCUAAUUAGGGGCCUGUAUGAACGGCACAACAUUUCAUUUACUUUUUUGGCAGUUUUUUUUAAAAUUAAAUUAAGAAUAAAAAUGUUCUUAUUCUAAAAAUAGACGACAAGACCCUUUUGAACUUUACUACAGUUUAGCUGGGGCAGCUAUAAAACAAUAAUUUUUUACAUUCAAUAAUUUUACUAAAAGACCCCGUUAAACCGACUAUUUGAACAAGUUACCACAGGGAUAACAGCGUAAUAUCUUUUUAAAGCUCGUAUAAAAAAAGGAGAUUGCGACCUCGAUGUUGAAUUAGUUUUUCUUCCCGGAGCAGUAUCUGUAAAAGUGGGCCUGUUCGGCCCUUAAAAUACUACAU
rnacentral:rRNA from 1 species